rnacentral:rRNA from 1 species
AGUGAACGCUGGCGGUAGGCCUAACACAUGCAAGUCGAACGGCAGCACAGUAAGAGCUUGCUCUUACGGGUGGCGAGUGGCGGACGGGUGAGGAAUACAUCGGAAUCUGCUUUUUCGUGGGGGAUAACGUAGGGAAACUUACGCUAAUACCGCAUACGACCUACGGGUGAAAGCAGGGGAUCUUCGGACCUUGCGCGAUUGAAUGAGCCGAUGUCGGAUUAGCUAGUUGGCGGGGUAAAGGCCCUCCAAGGCGACGAUCCGUAGCUGGUCUGAGAGGAUGAUCAGCCACACUGGAACUGAGACACGGUCCAGACUCCUACGGGAGGCAGCAGUGGGGAAUAUUGGACAAUGGGCGCAAGCCUGAUCCAGCCAUACCGCGUGGGUGAAGAAGGCCUUCGGGUUGUAAAGCCCUUUUGUUGGGAAAGAAAAGCAGCAGGUUAAUACCCCGCUGUUCUGACGGUACCCAAAGAAUAAGCACCGGCUAACUUCGUG